rnacentral:rRNA from 1 species
GAACGAACGCUGGCGGCGCGCCUAAUACAUGCAAGUCGAGCGAGAAGACGUAGCAAUACGUUUGUAAAGCGGCGAACGGGUGAGGAAUACAUGGGUAACCUACCCUCGAGUGGGAAUAACUAGCCGAAGGUUAGCUAAUACCGCGUACGCUCCUUGGACUUCGGUUCAGGGAGGAAAGCGAUACCGUGGGUAUCGCGCUCUUGGAUGGGCUCAUGUCCUAUCAGCUUGUUGGUGAGGUAACGGCUCACCAAGGCUUCGACGGGUAGCUGGUCUGAGAGGACGAUCAGCCACACUGGCACUGCGACACGGGCCAGACUCCUACGGGAGGCAGCAGUAAGGAAUAUUGCGCAAUGGGCGAAAGCCUGACGCAGCGACGCCGCGUGGGGGA